GAUGAACGCUGGCGGCGUGCCUAAUACAUGCAAGUCGAGCGAACAGACGAGGAGCUUGCUCCUCUGACGUUAGCGGCGGACGUGUGAGUAACACGUGGAUAACCUACCUAUCAGACUGGGAUCACUUCGGGACACCGGAGCUAACACCGGAUAAUCUCUUGAACCGCAUGGUUCAAUAGUGAAAGACGGUUUUGCUGUCACUUAUCGAUGGAUCCGCGCCGCAUUAGCUAGUUGGUACGGUAACGGCUUACCAAGGCAACGAUGCGUAGCCGACCUGAGAGGGUGAUCGGCCACACUGGAACUGAGACACGGUCCAGACUCCUACGGGAGGCAGCAGUAGGGAAUCUUCCGCAGUGGGCGAAAGCCUGACGGAGCAACGCCGCGUGAGUGAUGAAGGUCUUCGGAUCGUAAAACUCUGUUAUUAGGGAAGAACAAAUGUGUAAGUAACUAUGCACGUCUUGACGGUACCUAAUCAGAAAGCCACGGCUAACUACGUG
rnacentral:rRNA from 1 species